UUUCGCAAUGCCCGAAAGGGUGACGAAGCGACGCCGCGUGGGUGAGGAAGGCCCUCGGGUUGUAAAGCCCUGUCAGGAGUUAAGAAAUGUAAGUGUGCUAAUAUCACGCUUAUUUGACGAAGGCUCCAAAGGAAGUCACGGCUAACUCUGUGCCAGCAGCCGCGGUAAUACAGAGGUGGCAAGCGUUGUUCGGAAUUAUUGGGCGUAAAGAGCACGUAGGUGGGUUUGUAAGUCAGAUGUGAAAGCCUCCUGUUCAACGGGAGAAUUGCAUCUGAAACUACGAAUCUUGAGUGUAGGAGGGGAGAAUGGAACUUCUGGUGGAGCGGUGAAAUGCGUAGAUAUCAGAAGGAACGCCGGCGGCGAAAGCGAUUCUCUGGCCUAUUACUGACACUCAGUGUGCGAAAGCUAGGGGAGCAAACGGGAUUAGAUACCCCGGUAGUCCUAGCUGUAAACGAUGGGCACUAAGUAGAGGGGUUUUA
rnacentral:rRNA from 1 species